rnacentral:rRNA from 1 species
GACGAACGCUGGCGGCGUGCUUAACACAUGCAAGUCGAACGGAAAGGCCCUGCUUUUGUGGGGUGCUCGAGUGGCGAACGGGUGAGUAACACGUGAGUAACCUGCCCUUGACUUUGGGAUAACUUCAGGAAACUGGGGCUAAUACCGGAUAGGAGCUCCUGCUGCAUGGUGGGGGUUGGAAAGUUUCGGCGGUUGGGGAUGGACUCGCGGCUUAUCAGCUUGUUGGUGGGGUAGUGGCUUACCAAGGCUUUGCCGGGUAGCCGGCCUGGGCGGGUGACCGGCCACAUUGGGACUGAGAUACGGCCCAGACUCGUACGGGAGGCAGCAGUGGGGAAUAUUGCACGAUGGGCGGAAGACUGAUGCAGCAACGCCGCGUGCGGGAUGACGGCCUUCGGGUUGUAAACCGCUUUCGCCUGUGACGAAGCGUGAGUGACGGUAAUGGGUAAAGAAGUACCGGCUAACUACGUG